AUUAAUCACAGUAACAUAAAUCAUUACACUAAAUCACAAUUUUCAGAAUGACACGAUUGUCCUGGCUAUUUCUUUACUUUCUUUUAAUAAGAUCUGGGUUUCCUUCAAGCACUGUAUAAAUUGAACUUGAAAUACCAUCAGAGUCACAUAUCCUCAACUUGAAACUAGAUUUAUUUAAUCUGACCCUAAAAGUGAAUCCUUUGAACCUGAAUU
rnacentral:lncRNA from 1 species